rnacentral:lncRNA from 1 species
UUUGAAUCUGAUUCAAGCUCUCUAAGUGGAAGUAUAUGCUUCCUACCUGAGAGAGAAUCGGGUUCAAAUCUUGCGGGGACCUUCUUUUAUGGUCCGGUUAUUUAUGUAGUCACCUAUACUAGGUGCCGUUUGAUUUCGGGACUCCUCUAGCUUGCUUGGUAGUUGUUCAAGACUUCUAAGCACUCUCAAGUGAGUGCUGCUUUGUGAUGAUUGAUGAUAUAUGCUACGCAUAGGAUGGACUCGUGCCUUAGCGACUUUAAAACUUGAAAGAUAAUAGUUGUACUUAUUUGAUU